rnacentral:rRNA from 1 species
GGGGCCCGCACAAGCGGUGGAGCAUGUGGUUUAAUUCGAAGCAACGCGAAGAACUUACCUGGCCUUGACAUGCUGAGAACUUUCUAGAGAUAGAGUGGAGGUUAUCCGGGAUACAGGUGGUGCAUGGUUGUCGUCAGCUCGUGUCGUGAGAUGUUGGGUUAAGUCCCGCAACGAGCGCAACCCUUGUCUUUAGUUACCAUCAUUCAGUUGGGGACUCUAGAGAGACUGCCGGUGAUAAACCGGAGGAAGGUGGGGAUGACGUCAAAUCAUCAUGCCCCUUAUGGCCUGGGCUACAAACGUAAUACAAUGGCGUAUACAAAGGGAUGCGAAAGGGCGACCUGGAGCAAAACUCACAAAGUACGUCUCAGUUCAGAUUGGAGUCUGCAACUCGACUCCAUGAAGGCGGAAUCGCUAGUAAUCGCGGAUCAGCAUGCCGCGGUGAAUACGUUCUCGGGGUUU